rnacentral:rRNA from 1 species
GUCUACCGCCUUGCCACCUUGAACAUGCCUGAUCCCGUCUGAUCUCAGAAGCUAAGCAGGGUUGGACCUGGUUAGUACUAGGAAAACUGGGUGCUAUAGGUG